rnacentral:rRNA from 1 species
GAUGAACGCUGGCGGCGUGCCUAAUACAUGCAAGUCGAGCGAAUGGAUUAAGAGCUUGCUCUUAUGAAGUUAGCGGCGGACGGGUGAGUAACACGUGGGUAACCUGCCCAUAAGACUGGGAUAACUCCGGGAAACCGGGGCUAAUACCGGAUAACACUUUGAACCGCAUGGUUCGAACUGAAAAGGCGGCUUCGUCUGUCUCUGAUGGAUGGACCCGCGUGGCAUUAGCUAGUUGGUGAAGUAGCGGCUCACCAAGGCAACGAUGCGUAGCCGACCUGAGAGGGUGAUCGGCCAAACUGGGACUGAGACACGGCCCAGACUCCUACGGGAGGCAGCAGUAGGGAAUCUUCCGCAAUGGACGAAAGUCUGACGGAGCAGCGCCGCGUGAGUGAUGAAGGCUUUCGGGUCGUAAAACUCUGUUGUUAGGGAAGAACAAGUGCUAGUUGAAUAAGCUGGCACCUUGACGGUACCUAACCAGAAAGCCACGGCUAACUACGUGCCAGCCGCCGCCGUAA